rnacentral:rRNA from 1 species
UUAAUCUUCGGAAGCGGACUGAUCUGACUGAGUGGCGGACGGGUGAGUAACGCGUGGGUAACCUGCCCUGUACAGGGGGACAACAGUUGGAAACGACUGCUAAUACCGCAUAAGCGCACAGCUUCGCAUGAAGCAGUGUGAAAAACUCCGGUGGUACAGGAUGGACCCGCGUCUGAUUAGAUAGUUGGUGAGGUAACGGCCCACCAAGUCAACGAUCAGUAGCCGGCCUGAGAGGGCGAACGGCCACAUUGGGACUGAGACACGGCCCAAACUCC